GAUGAACGCUCGCUACAGGCUUAACACAUGCAAGUCGCGGGGCAGCAUGGGGGUUGCUUGCAAUCCCCGAUGGCGACCGGCGCACGGGUGAGUAACGCGUAUCCAACCUGCCCUUCACCACGGGAUAACCCGGCGAAAGUCGGACUAAUACCGUAUGUUGUCCAUUGACGGCAUCCGAUUUGGACGAAAGGUUUGGCGGUGAAGGAGGGGGAUGCGUCCGAUUAGCUGGACGGCGGGGUGACGGCCCACCGUGGCGACGAUCGGUAGGGGUUCUGAGAGGAAGGUCCCCCACACUGGAACUGAGACACGGUCCAGACUCCUACGGGAGGCAGCAGUGAGGAAUAUUGGUCAAUGGGCGUAAGCCUGAACCAGCCAAGUAGCGUGCAGGAUGACGGCCCUAUGGGUUGUAAACUGCUUUUAUGCGGGGAUAAAGUGGCCCACGUGUGGGUUUUUGCAGGUACCGCAUGAAUAAGGACCGGCUAAUUCCGUG
rnacentral:rRNA from 1 species